GAUCGAAGAUACCUGUUAUCAUUCUAAAGAUCGCAAGUUUAAACCCGAGUUUUGAAAAUCAUUUUUGCUAAACCACAUGGUGUAGGUAACUCAGAAAAAUAAAAUCUAACUACUAUGCAAUUUAUUGUACUUUGAAUAGGUACUUUUAUUUAAUAGGUACCUAAUCUGUGGAUAAAAUGUCUAGAUUAAGUAUAAAUACUUGAAAAGAUAGUGGUUUACUGUAGUCAUUUUUUUUUUUAAAAAGGAAUAGUAUCAAAUUUUGUUUAUAUAAAAACUAUUGUUUUAGAAGGUUAAAAGGAUAAUACAAAUAUUUACAGAAAAUUUAAUGUUUCAGAUUGUGCAAUAUGGACAAUCUUCUAGAAAUUAUUUUCAAGAUAACAAACAACUUUCGAUGCAAAUCUAAACAUUAACCAGGAACAGAUGAGUGAGGAAGCCAAUAAUAUUAUCGAGAACACAAGAAGUACAAAAGAAUAUUUUGAUUAUGGAAAGUUUAUUGAAAACAGAUUAAUGAACUUCUCUUUAAGAACUGAAGAGUCUGUCCAAUAUAAAUUUUCCAAAAAUAUUUUGAAUGUCACCCAAGGAUAUUAUGAAUGAAAUCAGUGCAUUAUAUUAAUUCUAGUAUCAUUUAAUUUUAUUCAAUUUAAUUUAAUGAUACCCAUGCAUUAUGAUAAUAAUUAAUGUACAAUCCGAAUUUUUCCGCCAUUACUAUUUUUCUCAAUACUAAUUUUAUUAAAUGCUGUAAAAACAGUAUUAUAGUAUCAGACCCAAAUAAAGGUGUAGGAGGCAUGGAUUAACUACAAGAUUUAUGGUCCGUAUUUAAUAGAAUUCGAACUGGACAGGAACUGGUGCGGCUCCAUAAUGUUAAAGUAGGGCUUAAGUACAGCCUUGUGUACAACUAUGGUCGCGAUAACCAAACAUUUCACCAGAUUGUGACAUACGAACCACUUAAGGGGCUUUGUUAGCAACGGUAUCAAAUUUAAUAAGAUUCUUUUCGGACUAAUAUUUCAAAGCGUAUUCACGCAUCUCCUUUUCGAUGCUAAGUAAGUGAACCGCCUGCAUUUGACACUUUAAACUGCUUUUCCUAUAGGCUCAGAUAUGAUAGGGUAGAUUUAUAGGUACCUACAUUUUUCUAAUUUCCCGUGUACUCCGGGCAUAAUGAUUGUUUAUGAACGAAACUAUUAUCGGACAAGAGAUCAUUCACUGUACUGUCAAUAGAUAAUUAUCUAUAUUGUUUGUAGUAAAUGCACUGGUCCGGGGAAACGCUCGUUUGAAUGAACGUCAAUCCCUGAAUAAAUCCGUUCGAAUAAAAUACAUAGAGUAAUACGUGGUAUUAUUCAAUUUAUUCGCAGUUAUCGAGUUUGCAUAUUAUUAUCAUUUUAAUGGCGCCGUGACCACUAAGAUGACGGACCAGGUGAAUUUGGUCGUACAAUACUUCAAUCUAUAGAGUAUAAUUAUUGUAUAGUAAAGAUACGUACAUUAUACAUUAUUAACUCGAGGUAAUUGCCAAUAAUUUUCGUCCCGAUGUUAAUGGUCUUUUGAAAGCGGUAUUUUAAACAAUUGUAAAAUAAAAUAAUAUUGUGGACGACAGAAGAAAAACCUUGAAAUUUAAUGUCAACAGUAGAAAGAUAUCCCACAACAAGCUUUUCAUAAAAUAUUACGUUGCAAAUAAUAGAUCAUUUGAUUUUCUUUUUGAAUCGUUAAAGUAAGUAAGUAAUUUGUUGUACCUAUUUAGUCAGUUAAGUACUGUUGUCAUUUAAAGUUAUUAUAUGAUCCAUCAAAAUAUUAAAAAUUAUAGACGGCGAGUCUAAAAAGCAGACAAAUCGUACAAAACCAACAUUUAACACCUAAUAAAUUGAUGUUGAGUUUUACUUUAUUAAAAUAUAUGUGCAAUUGAGUUGUAUACUAUAAAAAAAAAAAAAAAAGGCAUACCAAUAAAAUUCUCCUAAUUAUAUUCCUAGCGUACUCAUGUGGUUGGGAAUAUAGAAAUCAUUUCAUAUUUCC
rnacentral:lncRNA from 1 species